rnacentral:rRNA from 1 species
GAUGAACGCUGGCGGCGUGCCUAAUACAUGCAAGUCGAGCGAACGGACGAGAAGCUUGCUUCUCUGAUGUUAGCGGCGGACGGGUGAGUAACCCGUGGAUAACCUACCUAUAAGACUGGGAUAACUUCGGGAAACCGGAGCUAAUACCGGAUAAUAUUUUGAACCGCAUGGUUCAAAAGUGAAAGACGGUCUUGCUGUCACUUAUAGAUGGAUCCGCGCUGCAUUAGCUAGUUGGUAAGGUAACGGCUUACCAAGGCAACGAUGCAUAGCCGACCUGAGAGGGUGAUCGGCCACACUGGAACUGAGACACGGUCCAGACUCCUACGGGAGGCAGCAGUAGGGAAUCUUCCGCAAUGGGCGAAAGCCUGACGGAGCAACGCCGCGUGAGUGAUGAAGGUCUUCGGAUCGUAAAACUCUGUUAUUAGGGAAGAACAUAUGUGUAAGUAACUGUGCACAUCUUGACGGUACCUAAUCAGAAAGCCACCGCUAACUACGUG